rnacentral:rRNA from 1 species
UGGGGAAUUUUGCGCAAUGGGCGAAAGCCUGACGCAGCAACGCCGCGUGUGUGAUGAAGGCCUUCGGGUUGUAAAGCACUGUCCAGAGGGAAGAACAAGCGGGGGUUACCCCUCGCCCUGACGGUACCUCUGAAGAAAGCACUGGCUAACUCCGUGCCAGCAGCCGCGGUAAUACGGAGAGUGCGAGCGUUGUUCGGAAUCAUUGGGCGUAAAGGGCGUCUAGGUGGCCCGGCAAGUCAGAUGUGAAAUCCCUCGGCUCAACCGAGGACGUGCAUUUGAAACUGCUAGGCUUGAGUGUUGGAGGGGGCAGCGGAAUUCCCGGUGUAGAGGUGAAAUUCGUAGAUAUCGGGAGGAACACCAGUGGCGAAGGCGGCUGCCUGGCCAAACACUGACACUGAAGCGCGAAAGCGUGGGGAGCAAACAGGAUUAGAUACCCCCGUAGUCC